GAGUUUGAUCAUGGCUCAGAACGAACGCUGGCGGCAGGCUUAACACAUGCAAGUCGAACGCCCCGCAAGGGGAGUGGCAGACGGGUGAGUAACGCGUGGGAACGUGCCCUUCGCUUCGGAAUAUUCCCGGGAAACUGGGAGCAAUGCCGAAUACGCCGUAUUGGGAAAGAUUUAUCGGCGAAGGAUCGGCCCGCGUUAGAUUAGGUAGUUGGCGGUGUAAUGGACCACCAAGCCUACGAUCUAUAGCUGGUCUGAGAGGAUGAUCAGCCACACUGGGACUGAGACACGGCCCAGACUCCUACGGGAGGCAGCAGUGGGGAAUCUUGGACAAUGGGCGAAAGCCUGAUCCAGCAAUGCCGCGUGAGUGAUGAAGGCCUUAGGGUUGUAAAGCUCUUUUACCCGGGAUGAUAAUGACAGUACCGGGAGAAUAAGCUCCGGCUAACUCCGUGCCAGCCGCCGCCGUAAU
rnacentral:rRNA from 1 species